rnacentral:rRNA from 1 species
AACGAACGCUGGCGGCAUGCCUAACACAUGCAAGUCGAACGAAACCUUCGGGUCUAGUGGCGCACGGGUGCGUAACGCGUGGGAACCUGCCCUUAGGUUCGGCAUAACUCCCCGAAAGGGGUGCUAAUACCGGAUAAUGUCUUCGGACCAAAGAUUUAUCGCCUUUGGGUGGGCCCGCGUUGGAUUAGCUUGUUGGUAGGGUAAGAGCCUACCAAGGCGACGAUCCGUAGCUGGUCUGAGAGGAUGAUCAGCCACACUGGGACUGAGCCACGGCCCAGACUCCUACGAGAGGCAGCAGUGGGGAAUAGAGGACAAGGGGCGAGAGCCUGAUACAGCAAGGGCGCGAGAGUGAUGAAGGCGUUAGGGUUGGAAAGCUCUUUUAGCCGGGAUGAUAAUGACAGUACCGGGAGAAGAAGCACCGGCUAACUCCGUG